rnacentral:misc_RNA from 1 species
AAUAUGGCCUUUUCUACCUUCAUCAGGGCCCUUUCAUCUUUAGAACUUUUUUAUGAUCUUUGCCACUUUUGCAUAUGAAGCCUAGUUGUGCUUCUAUUUCACUUGUAUAUUGGAGCAUGUAGCUGAGGAGCCUUAUCUUGCUUGAGUAUAAAGUUGCAGCCAUCACCAAUAUGCUGAUGAAAUGUAUUCAACAUUCUGUGUGGUAGAUGAAUAUUUGUUGAAUUUUAUUAGCAAGCAUGGUUGGUCCUUUCUCUAAAUUAGGGAAGCUUCUUUGUAAUUUGUGCUUCAUAUUUGGAUGUCAUGAUUUACUUCUUGAAGAAAAUAUUGUUCUUCCAUGCAGGAAGUGAGAUAUCUUUCUUCA